GAUGAAGAACGUAGCGAAAUGCGAUAAGUAACGUGAAUUGCAGAAUUCAGUGAAUCAUCGAAUCUUUGAACGCACAUUGCGCCCGCCAGUAUUCUGGCGGGCAUGCCUGUUCGAGCGUCAUUUCAACCCUCAGGCCCCCAGUGCCUGGCGUUGGGGAUCGGCGUGGGCGGCGAACGGCUCUCCGGAGCCCGAGCCAAUGCCUGCCGGCCCCGAAAUUCAGUGGCGGUCUCGCUGUAGUCCCCCUCUGCGUAGUAGCACAACUCGCAUUGGAGCUCGGCGGUGGCCAUGCCGUAAAACACCCCACUUCUGAAAGUUGACCUCGGAUCAGGUAGGAAUACCCGCUGAACUUAAGCAUAUCAAUAAGCGGAGGA
rnacentral:misc_RNA from 1 species